GGGGUUGUAACUCAGUGGUAGAGUGUUCGCUUUGCAUGUGACAAGCCCGGAGAUCAAUCCUUCGCAACUUCA
rfam:Daphnia pulex DAPPTscaffold_44_Cont2431, whole genome shotgun sequence.